AUAAGCGGAGGAAAAGAAACUAACAAGGAUUCCCCUAGUAACUGCGAGUGAAGCGGGAAAAGCUCAAAUUUAAAAUCUGGUGGUCUUUGGCCGUCCGAGUUGUAAUUUAGAGAAGCGUUUUCCGCGCUGGACCGUGCACAAGUCUCCUGGAAUGGAGCGUCAUAGAGGGUGAGAAUCCCGUCUUUGGCACGGAUGCACCAGGGCUUUUGUGAUGCGCUCUCGAAGAGUCGAGUUGUUUGGGAAUGCAGCUCAAAAUGGGUGGUGAACUCCAUCUAAAGCUAAAUAUUGGCGAGAGACCGAUAGCGAACAAGUACCGUGAGGGAAAGAUGAAAAGCACUUUGGAAAGAGAGUGAAACAGUACGUGAAAUUGUUGAAAGGGAAACGCUUGAAGUCAGUCGCGUCUACCGAGACUCAGCCUCGCCUCGGCUUGGUGUACUUCUCGGCCGACGGGUCAGCAUCAAUUUUGCCCCUUGGAUAAUGGCGAGGGAAAUGUGACACCUUUACGGUGUGUUAUAGUCUCUCGUCGCAUGCAAGGGUCGGGAUUGAGGAACUCAGCACGCGCCUUUGGCGUCGGGGUUUUGCCCACGAUACGUGCUUAGGAUGUUGGCGUAAUGGCUUUAAACGACCCGUCUUGAAA
rnacentral:rRNA from 1 species